UACGUAGGUGGCGAGCGUUGUCCGGAUUUAUUGGGCGUAAAGCGCGCGCAGGCGGUUGCCUAAGUCUGCUGUGAAAUCUCCCGGCUCAACUGGGAGGGGGCGGCGGAGACUGGGCGACUGGAGGGACCUAGAGGCCGGUGGAAUUCCCGGUGUAGUGGUGAAAUGCGUAGAGAUCGGAAAGAACACCAACGGCGAAAGCACUCUGCUGGGCCGACACUGACACUGAGAGACGAAAGCUAGGGGAGCGAAUGGG
rnacentral:rRNA from 1 species